GGACCGUUAGCUCAAUUGGCAGAGCACCUGACUCUUAAUCAGGGGGUUACAGGUUCGAUUCCUGUACGGUCCACCA
rnacentral:tRNA from 1 species